CCCUUAGAUGUUCUGGGCCGCACGCGUGCUACACUGAGUAAAUCAAUGGGUAAGGGAACACGAAAGUGCAACCUAAUCUUGAAAUUUGCUCGUGAUGGGGAUCGACGGUUGCAAUUUUCCGUCGUGAGCGAGGAAUACCUUGUAGGCGCGUGUCAUCAUCACGCGCCGAAUACGUCCCUGCCCUUUGUACACACCGCCCGUCGCUCCUACCGAUUGAGUGAUCCGGUGAGGCUCUGGGACCUGGACGGAAAGAGCGUUUCGCUUGUUCUGUUUGGGAAACUUGGUCGAACCUUAUCAUUUAGAGGAAGGAGAAGUCGUAACA
rnacentral:rRNA from 1 species